rnacentral:rRNA from 1 species
GAUGAACGCUAGCGGCAGGCCUAACACAUGCAAGUCGAGGGGUAGAGGAAGCUUGCUUCCUUGAGACCGGCGCACGGGUGCGUAACGCGUAUGCAAUCUACCUUUUACAGAGGGAUAGCCCAGAGAAAUUUGGAUUAAUACCUCAUAGUAUCUUUGCCUGGCAUCGGGUGAUUAUUAAAGUUCCAACGGUAAAAGAUGAGCAUGCGUCCUAUUAGCUAGAUGGUAAGGUAACGGCUUACCAUGGCAACGAUAGGUAGGGGUCCUGAGAGUGAUAUCCCCCACACUGGUAAGGAGACACGGACCAGACUCCUACGGGAGGCAGCAGUGAGGAAUAUUAGACAAUGGGCGCAAGCCUGAUCCAGCCAUGCCGCGUGCAGGAAGACGGUCCUAUGGAUUGUAAACUGCUUUUGUACGGGAAGAAACACUCCUACGUGUAGGAGCUUGACGGUACCGUAAGAAUAAGGAUCGGCUAACUCCGUGCCAGCCGCCGCAGUAAUAC